CCUACGGGGGGCAGCAGUGGGGAAUAUUGGACAAUGGGGGCAACCCUGAUCCAGCCAUGCCGCGGGUGUGAAGAAGGCCCUCGGGUUGUAAAGCACUUUCAGUGAGGAAGAACGCCUGGUGGUUAAUACCCAUCAGGAAAGACAUCACUCACAGAAGAAGCACCGGCUAACUCCGUGCCAGCAGCCGCGGUAAUACGGAGGGUGCGAGCGUUAAUCGGAAUUACUGGGCGUAAAGCGCGCGUAGGUGGCUUGAUAAGCCGGUUGUGAAAGCCCCGGGCUCAACCUGGGAACGGCAUCCGGAACUGUCAAGCUAGAGUGCAGGAGAGGAAGGUAGAAUUCCCGGUGUAGCGGUGAAAUGCGUAGAGAUCGGGAGGAAUACCAGUGGCGAAGGCGGCCUUCUGGACUGACACUGACACUGAGGUGCGAAAGCGUGGGUAGCAAACAGGAUUAGAUACCCCUGUAGUC
rnacentral:rRNA from 1 species